UGCAGCUUCUCCUUGGCUCUUCAAAAAUCUCUGGCCAGUACCGAUUCUUCUCCAGGUUCACCUGUCCUGUAAAGGAGGAGAUUCACAUUUUAACACUAAAGUUGGGUUUGCCAAACUGCUCAGAAAGUGAACAACCGGUUCUCCUGAAAUGGUGCGAAGUGGCUGAAUCCCAUCACUGACGAAGACCUUGCCAAAGUUAAGGCCCGCAAAGCUUUGAAUUCGAUCGUUUCUUCACUCCGGCAUCCGCAGGGUUCCCCUCCCAGCCGCAGAGGAAGAAGACCUCGGGACUCUCGCCUUUACAACGAAUUGCCCUAGGAGCCUUUCAAGAAGCAGAGCCGCCUCCCUUCAGCUUAUACCCGCAGGGUUUUCUUCCGACCGGGGAUGGGGGAGCCACGGAGAAGAACUCCAGGACAAACGGGCAGGAAAGGGUCCGGACCUCCGUGGGAAUCAAGGGGGUGGGAGGAAAGGCUUUGCCCACAGAGGGUACAACGAUGCCGGUCAGCAAAAAACAGAACCCAAUGCCACUGCUGUCCUUCUCACCGGCCGAUAUUCACUAACGCGGGUCAGUCCAGCCAGGAAAACCACCUUUCAAAGAUUAAAACGUCUUCUGUUGCUUAUAUGCUGUUUCUGGACAAAGACCUUUACUUGAAUUAGUAAAACUAUUACAAUUCAGAAUGAAGCAGAUGAGCCUAAAAACUUUUGGUUUGUCUACAUUUUAAAUUGCUCUAAGAGGUAAGAAGAUGCCCACAUAACUUUGACUAGAAGACCAUCGUCAGUCACCCCUUUUCUGGUUCCAUUUCAAAGUUCUGCUGCUGAACAUGAAUGACUGCCUAAUAAAGGUCCAUAGCAAAACAUAGUAAAUUUAGGUGUGUAAGCUGCUGUCCUUGGUGAUCAUCUGAGAUGUUGCAGGAAUGUCUCCUUCAUCCUCAUUUCUCCAACUAACCAUGGUUUGCAGGAACAGAAGGGAAGAUAUUGGUAUAAUCUGUAUCAAAAGACCUGCUGGCCAUCGCUUUAUCACAUGGAUUUUCCGUACAUAUCCAAAUAUCUACAGAGGUAGACCUCUGACGUGUCCUGAAUGGCCCUGCAAGGAGAGUUAGGCAGAGAGACAUCGACCCAUGCUCAGAGCUUUGACCUACAAGCCAAUAAGGAGAAUAAUAUGGAGAAAAAGGAGUUCCAGCAGUUAAAAAGGAAGAAACAGCUGCAAUCACACAUUGCUCCCAGAAGCACGAAGCUGAAGCCUGAAGAUGACGAAUGAGACUUCGUCGAAACGUCGCCAAGACACUUCCAAUUUUACGCGGGAGAAAACCUGAAUAACCAAAGACCUACAUACAAACACCCGCGAAAACCUCAGAAAACAAAUAUAUAUAUAUAUAUAUAUCAAAGAGCUCUGGGUCACUGAGCUGGAAAUGAAUACCUGAAGAUGGACUGCUUGAAGAGGAAGCUCCUUUUAACUUUCAAAAGUCUAGUACAGAAGUUGGCUCCUGAAAGGUACCUUGAGAGAUACCUUGAAUAGAUCAGGUGUAUAUAAUUGGAAUAAAGCGCGUGAUGGGCCUCUGUGGCUCAGACUGCUAAUGCAGUCUGUUAUUAACAGCAGCUGCCUGCAAUUACUGCAGGUUCUAGUCCCACCAGGCCCAAGGUUGACUCAGCCUUCCAUCCUUUAUAAGAAUCUGCCUUUUAUCCAUUUUGCACAUAUGAAGAUGAAGAGUGUCUAAAAUCUCCACUGUGUUGCACACGUGAAGCCUCGCCUUAACUGAAUUUGGGAUCUCCUUAUAUGCAACUUCUCAAAUUCCAACUCAUACUAAGUCUAGUAUUGUAUCAUUCAGUAAUCAUGACCUACCUGUAAGUACACCAAAGUCUCUAAGUAACACUUCAACCUUGAAAUACACCCUUGUCUUAGAAGCCUUAUGAAAAGCUAUUCAAGUGCUUUUUGCCUGUAAAUGAAAAAUUGCAUAAUACUUUAUUCUUUCUUUAUUUUUAUUUAUUUAUUUAUUUGUCAAACACAACAAUAUAUAUAAGCAAUAAUAAUAAUAAUAAUAAUAAAUUAUAUUAUAUUAUAUAUAUUAUAUAUAUUAUAUUAUUAUAAUAAUAAUAUAAUAAGUAUAUGCCAAAAAAGUACAAUACUAAAUUAGAAAAUAAUAUAAAUUAGAAUUUUUGAUAUCCUGUAUGAUUGUCAAACUCGUAAUUAGCAGUGUGCUGCCUCAUUUAACCUAAUC